rnacentral:lncRNA from 1 species
CUCGGGUCUCCUUCAACGCUAUGGAAGCUUUGCUCUUUUGCUCUUUGCAAUAAAUCUUGCUACUGUUCACUCUUUGGGUCCAUGCUGCUUUUAUGAGCUGUAACACUCACAGGGAAAAUCUGCAGCUUCACUCCCGAACCGAGCGAGACCACGAGCCCACCGGGAGGAAAGAACAACUCCAGACAUGCUGCCUUAAGAGCUGUAACACUCACCGCGAAGGUCUGCCGUUUCACUCCUGAGCCAGUGAGACCACGAACCCACCAGAAGAAAGAAACUCUGAACACAUCUGAACAUCAGAAGGAACAGACUCCAGACGCGCCACCUUAAGAGCUGUAACACUCACCGCGAGGGUCCGCGGCUUCAUUCUUGAAGUCAGUGAGACCAAGAACCCACCAAUUCCGGACACAGAAUUUCAUGGAGCCUGGAGCCCAGGAAAAGGGUGAAUCCAAUGCAGGCUGAUUUCUGGCUUACAUCACAGUCCAGUCUGAUUUUCUGCAGAUUACUUUCUACAAGACGAUUUGGGACCUCAGUUUACCACCUCCCAGCGGACCGACGGGUGCGGU